rnacentral:tRNA from 1 species
GACCUCGUAGCUCAAUUGGAUAGAGCAUCUGACUACGGAUCAGAAGGUUAAGGGUUCAAAUCCUUUCGAGGUUA